rnacentral:rRNA from 1 species
AACGAACGCUGGCGGCGUGCUUAACACAUGCAAGUCGAACGCGAACGUCUUCUUCGGAAGGCUAGUAGAGUGGCGCACGGGUGAGUAACGCGUAAGUAACCUGUCCUCGCAUCUGGGAUAACCCACCGAAAGGUGUGCUAAUACCGGAUACGUCUCAUUUAAUUGACAUUUGAUGAGAGAAAGAUGGCCUCUGAUCAAGCUAUUGUGCGGGGAGGGGCUUGCGUACCAUUAGCUAGUCGGUAGGGUAACGGCCUACCGAGGCGACGAUGGUUAGCGGGUCUGAGAGGAUGAUCCGCCACACUGGAACUGGAACACGGACCAGACUCCUACGGGAGGCAGCAGUGAGGAAUAUUGGUCAAUGGGCGCAAGCCUGAACCAGCCAUGCCGCGUGAAGGAUGACAGCCCUAUGGGUUGUAAACUUCUUUUGUACGGGAAGAAACAUUUCUACGUGUAGAAACUUGACGGUACCGUACGAAUAAGCAUCGGCUAACUCCGUG